AGCCCCUUAUUCCUAGUACCAUGAGUCUUUCUAAAUGAGGUGGGGUCCACUUACUUUGCAAAACCCUAGGUGCCAUGUGUUCAUAUUUACAAUUGGGCUUAAGCUAUUCUACCAAAAUUAGCCCAUAAUGCAAAGAGUUUGUCUAAAAACUUUAAACAAUUAAAUUUACAAUGUAACUAAAUUUAAAAUGACAAAAUUGGGAGUCUUGAAUUAUUUUGUCUCCUCUCAAUGCUCCAAAAUAUAUCUCCAAA
rnacentral:lncRNA from 1 species